rnacentral:rRNA from 1 species
CGGUACCCUGGGAAGAAGUGUCGGCUAACUACGUGCCAGCAGCCGCUGUAAGACGUAGGACACAAGCGUUAUCCGGAGUUACUGGGCGUAAAGCGCCUGCAGGCGGCCUGGUAAGUUGGACGUGAAAGCACCGUGCUUAACGCGGGGAGGUCGGACAAUACUGCCAAGCUAGAGUGCGUCAGAGGGGAGUGGAAUUUCCGGAGUAGCGGUAAAAUGCGCAGAUAUCGGAAGGAACACCAGUGGCGAAAGCGACUCCCUGGGGCGCGACUGACGCUAAGAGGCGAAAGCUAGGGGAGCGAACAGGAUUAGAGACCCUGGUAGUCCUAGCCCUAAACGAUGGAUGCUAGGUGUGGGACGUAAAGUUCCGUGCCGGAGCCAACGCGAUAAGCAUCCCGCCUGGGGACUACGGUCGCAAGGCUAAAACUCAAACGAAUUGACGGGGACCCGCACAAGCAGCGGAGCGUGUGGUUCAAUUCGAUGCUACACGAAGAACCUUACCUGGGUUUGACAUGUACGUGGUAGAGAAGCGAAAGCGGAUUGACCCUUCGGGGAGCGUACACAGGUGCUGCAUGGCUGUCGUCAGCUCGUGCCGUGAGGUGUCGGGUUAAGUCCCGUAACGAGCGCAACCCUUAUCCUUAGUUGCACGUAUCUAGGGAGACUGCCGGCGGGAAGCCGGAGGAAGGUGGGGAUGACGUCAAGUCAGCAUGGCCCUUAUGUCCAGGGCUACACACACGCUACAAUGGCCGGUACAAAGGGCAGCAAAGUCGCGAGGCGGAGCGAAUCCCAACAAAGCCGGUCGUAGUUCGGAUUGCAGGCUGCAACUCGCCUGCAUGAAGCUGGAGUUGCUAGUAACCGCGCGUCAGCUAUAGUGCGCUGAUACGUACCCGGGUCUUGUACACACCGCCCGUCACGUCAUGGAAGUCGGUAACGCACUGAAGGCGGUAGCAUAGCUCGGAAGAGGGGGCGCUGUCGAAGGCGGGACUG